rnacentral:rRNA from 1 species
GAAACGUGGGUCUAAUACCGGAUAGGAACCAUCUUUAGUGUGGUGGUUGGAAAGUUUUUUCGGUGUAGGAUGAGCUCGCGGCCUAUCAGCUUGUUGGUGGGGUAAUGGCCUACCAAGGCGGCGACGGGUAGCCGGCCUGAGAGGGUGUACGGCCACAUUGGGACUGAGAUACGGCCCAG